GACGAACGCUGGCGGCGUGCCUAAUACAUGCAAGUCGAACGCAGGUGGUACUGGUUAGUAACCCGUUGGUAACCUCCCAUCAGAGGGGAUAACACUUGGAAACACGUGCUAAACCCAUACUGAUGGAUGGACCCGCGGUGCAUUAGCUAGUUGGGGGGGUAACGGCUCACCAAGGCAACGAUGCAUAGCCGGCCGGAGAGGGUGAUCAGCCACACUGGGACUGAGACACGGCCCAGACUCCUACGGGAGGCAGCAGUAGGGAAUCUUGGGCAAUGGACGAAAGUCUGAUGGAGCCACGCCGCGUGAGUGAAGAAGGUCUUCGGAUCGUAAAACGCUGUUGUUAGAGAAGCGUUAUCUAACGAGAAAGCAACGGCUAACUACGUGCCAGGAGCCGCGGUAAUAC
rnacentral:rRNA from 1 species